GGGCUUACACAUGCAGUCGAGCGGGGAAAGGUAGCUUGCUACUGGACCUAGCGGCGGACGGGUGAGUAAUGCUUAGGAAUCUGCCUAUUAGUGGGGGACAACGUUCCGAAAGGAACGCUAAUACCGCAUACGUCCUACGGGAGAAAGCAGGGGAUCUUCGGACCUUGCGCUAAUAGAUGAGCCUAAGUCGGAUUAGCUAGUUGGUGGGGUAAAGGCCUACCAAGGCGACGAUCUGUAGCGGGUCUGAGAGGAUGAUCCGCCACACUGGGACUGAGACACGGCCCAGACUCCUACGGGAGGCAGCAGUGGGGAAUAUUGGACAAUGGGCGCAAGCCUGAUCCAGCCAUGCCGCGUGUGUGAAGAAGGCCUUUUGGUUGUAAAGCACUUUAAGCGAGGAGGAGGCUCCUUUAGUUAAUACCUAAAGUGAGUGGACGUUACUCGCAGAAUAAGCACCGGCUAACUCUGUGCCAGCAGCCGCGGUAAUACAGAGGGUGCGAGCGUUAAUCGGAUUUACUGGGCGUAAAGCGUGCGUAGGCGGCUUUUUAAGUCGGAUGUGAAAUCCCUGAGCUUAACUUAGGAAUUGCAUUCGAUACUGGAAAGCUAGAGUAUGGGAGAGGAUGGUAGAAUUCCAGGU
rnacentral:rRNA from 1 species